CGUAAUCCGGGUUGCGGACAGUGUCUGGUGGGUAGUUUGACUGGGGCGGUCUCCUCCUAAAGAGUAACGGAGGAGCACGAAGGUUGGCUAAUCCUGGUCGGACAUCAGGAGGUUAGUGCAAUGGCAUAAGCCAGCUUGACUGCGAGCGUGACGGCGCGAGCAGGUGCGAAAGCAGGUCAUAGUGAUCCGGUGGUUCUGAAUGGAAGGGCCAUCGCUCAACGGAUAAAAGGUACUCCGGGGAUAACAGGCUGAUACCGCCCAAGAGUUCAUAUCGACGGCGGUGUUUGGCACCUCGAUGUCGGCUCAUCACAUCCUGGGGCUGAAGUAGGUCCCAAGGGUAUGGCUGUUCGCCAUUUAAAGUGGUACGCGAGCUGGGUUUAGAACGUCGUGAGACAGUUCGGUCCCUAUCUGCCGUGGGCGCUGGAGAACUGAGGGGGGCUGCUCCUAGUACGAGAGGACCGGAGUGGACGCAUCACUGGUGUUCGGGUUGUCAUGCCAAUGGCACUGCCCGGUAGCUAAAUGCGGAAGAGAUAAGUGCUGAAAGCAUCUAAGCACGAAACUUGCCCCGAGAUGAGUUCUCCCUGAGACUUAGAGUCUCCUGAAGGAACGUUGAAGACGACGACGUUGAUAGGCCGG
rnacentral:rRNA from 1 species